UUUCCGGACCCGUCUCUAUGGUGUGGGAGAAACCCGGCCACCAGAAGAUUGUGGGUGUAGUGGCCACAGCCUUAGAGGCAGGCAGGGGUGGUUGGUGUCAACAGGGGGGCCAACAGGGUACCAGAGCCAAGACCCUCGGCCUCCUCCCCCGCCGCCCUCCUGCAGAUCUGCUUGGCUUUAAGGAAGAGUGGCAGUACUGCCUCACUGCAUAAGGGAUGGGAUCAGAGAACAGUGCUUUAAAGAGCUAUACACUGAAAGAACCACCAUUUACCUUACCCUCUGGACUUGCUGUUUAUCCCGCUGUACUGCAAGAUGGCAAAUUUGCUUCAGUGUUUGUGUAUAAGAGAGAAAAUGAAGACAAGGUUAAUAAAGCUGCCAAGCAUUUGAAGACACUUCGUCACCCUUGCUUGCUAAGAUUUUUAUCUUGUACUGUGGAAGCGGAUGGCAUUCAUCUUGUCACUGAGCGAGUACAGCCCCUGGAAGUGGCUUUGGAAACACUGUCUUCUGCAGAGGUCUGUGCUGGGAUCUAUGACAUAUUGCUGGCUCUUAUCUUCCUUCAUGACAGAGGACACCUAACACACAAUAAUGUCUGUUUAUCAUCUGUGUUUGUGAGUGAAGAUGGGCACUGGAAGCUAGGAGGAAUGGAAACUGUUUGUAAAGUUUCUCAGGCCACACCAGAGUUUCUGAGGAGUAUUCAGUCAAUAAGAGACCCAGCAUCUAUCCCUCCUGAAGAGAUGUCUCCAGAAUUCACAACUCUCCCAGAGUGUCAUGGACAUGCCCGGGAUGCCUUUUCAUUUGGAACACUGGUGGAAAGUUUGCUCACAAUCUUAAAUGAACAGGGUUGGUUUUUGCUCUCGGCAGUCUCCAGCUAUAGAGGUCCUGAAAAGAGGGAGAAGGCAUUGGAAACUAACUGUAGCUCUGGAUUUCAGUUUCAGCGGAUGUUCUCUCCAGCUUUCAACAGACCUUGCACUCAACUUUGCUGAAUCCCAUUCCAAAAUGUCGGCCAGCGCUCUGCACCUUACUAUCUCAUGACUUCUUCAGAAAUGAUUUUCUGGAAGUUGUGAAUUUCUUGAAAAGUUUAACAUUGAAGAGUGAAGAGGAAAAAACGGAAUUCUUUAAAUUUCUGCUGGACAGAGUCAGCUGCUUGUCGGAGGAAUUGAUAGCUUCAAGGUUGGUGCCUCUUCUGCUUAAUCAGUUGGUGUUUGCAGAGCCAGUGGCUGUUAAGAGUUUUCUUCCUCAUCUGCUUGGCCCCAAAAAAGAUCAUGCGCAGGGAGAAACUCCUUGCUUGCUCUCACCAGCCCUGUUCCAGUCACGGGUGAUCCCCGUGCUUCUCCAGUUGUUUGAAGUUCAUGAAGAGCAUGUGCGGAUGGUGCUGCUGUCUCACAUCGAGGCCUACGUGGAGCACUUCACUCAGGAGCAGCUGAAGAAAGUCAUCUUGCCACAGGUUUUGCUGGGCCUGCGUGAUACUAGUGAUUCCAUUGUGGCAAUUACUCUGCAUAGCCUAGCAGUGCUGGUCUCUCUGCUUGGACCAGAGGUGG
rnacentral:sRNA from 1 species